CAGACAAGGAGUUUCAUGGCCUUCACAAUGUUCUUUAUAACACUAUGCCUUUCCUAUUUCCUCAGCAGCCAGCCUGCUCUUCACUUGAUGCUCAAGCCAACAGAUACUUGCACUUAAGAACAUGUAAGAAGUUGUUUCUUAGGAAGUAAUUGCUUUAGGCUACUCCAUACAACAGCAUCCAACUCCCGUUGUCACAGGAACCUAAAAAUAAAAACCCACUCCAGGACUGCACACUAGGUGUGUGAUCGACGAAGAUGGAGGCUUCCAGCUCCUGUCUCUUCUGCCGGCUGCACUGCUGGCUGCCAGCUUCUCUCUUGGUGGUGGCUCCGAGAGCCAGGACAGACAGAAUCUAGAGUCCUGAUACCUCAACUGUUUAACAGUGAGAGGGAGGCUUCUCAGUUCAGACUCUAGAAAAAGCACCACUGAAAUAGUGGGAUUUCCACACACCAGCCUAUCCCCUAAGGAAAAUCAAAGCAAAGCACAAGGAGUAAAGUGCCUUCUGGAGCCCAAAAGUGUGCAUGAAGUUCCCUGCUGGAAAGGUGACUUAAGGGAUCUCUAUGUGUCCAAAAAUAAUGACCUGAAGGACUAUAUGUUGGCAUGCUGCCGAGCCAAGGAGAGAACUCCAUAUAUAUGUAACACCAAGCGACAAUAA
rnacentral:lncRNA from 1 species